AACAGGAGGAGGAUGUCACCACAGACAGGCUUGUUGAGAGCUGCCUCUUGUCCUUGCUCGCCUUGUUUGUCCCCACUAGCCAGUUCCUCCAGAGCCAACGUGAGCAGGACACACGCAGAGGGCACAAGGGUGGCAGGAGAGAUCAGAAGCCCCUGGGAACUGAGCUCCUGGCUGCAGAGAGCUGGACUCUGCUCCUCCCAGUGAGUACCCCCAGCCCCCAGGCAGAGCCCGGGCAUCUCUAGGUCAGCGGCUGCAGUGCAGCCUGCGGGCCCAGCCCAGCCCACCACCUGCUUUGCAAAUGAAGUCGUGCUGGUACCCAGCUGUGUUCAUCCAUCUUCAGACGGUCUAGGCUGCAUCUUCACUGCAGUGGUGGAGUUGACUAGUCAAGGAACAGAGUCGGGGGCUUGAAAGGGGAACGUUCUUACUACCUGGCCCCUGCAGGAAAAGUGCCCUUGGAGAGCACUCAGAGACCUGGUGCUGAUGAGGACACAGCUGACUUCUCUCCUGUCAGAGCAGAGCACUGGUCUUGUGCUCUGCUGGUCCACAUGCACGUGGGGCUGGGACAUCUGUGAGAACCAUGGAGGGAGGCCCUGCCUCACACAGAAGAGCACAGGACUGGAAAAGGUGGUGCUGAGGAUUGAACCUAGCAUCUCGCAUGUGGAAGCUCUCCUGGUGCUUGGAGGAAUUCACCCUGUUGGGUUUAGGAAAUGAAGUCCUUGUUGGCAUGGAGUCUUUGAGUGUAAAAACAAAACUACUUGUCCACAUCACAACCACCUUCUUAACUGUCCAUCUCUCAGUGGAUGCCGAACUUGGUGACCAUGGAGGCUCUCAUAGGAUCAGGAUGAGUCCCCACUCUGUGCAGGUUGCAGAAAGGAGUGCUUACUAGACAUGGCUGGUGGGAACAAGCUCCCACGUCUGGAGAUGACUGCAUUGGCUUAAACUUGCUAUGUACCCAUACCGCCAAGGACUAACAUAGAUUUUUUUAGAAAAAAUGACCUGGUUAUAUGACCAUCUCUGUCCCCACGCUCUUUUUAUAGUGGUGCUGGGUAUCAAACCCAUGCCAGGCAAGCGUCUACCAUGGAGCUGCAUCCCCAGCCACCAUAUAUCUCCUCUGAUGGUCCCUUCAGUAAGAAUCUCAUAUUCAGAAUAGGAUAUUUGUAUUGUCAGUACCUGGGUUUUGUUUUCGUUCUGAAGGACUCUUUACUAAGCAUGACAUGUUUGCAAAAUAAAGGUCUUUUAAAGUCCCGGGUUAAAUUGAUUAUAACAUGAAAAUAAAUAGAUAAAUUAAUUAAUCAAAAGUCCUACAGCCAUAGGACCUUAGCACUAGAAAAACAUUAGGAAAAAAUUUUUUGAGGAAUCUUCCUAGACAACAUGCCAGAAAAAUUUGACUGCAGGAAAGCCUCUCCCCAUCAGGCAGUAUAUUGUUAUCAGAAGCUGGAAAUGGUAAGCAUCUUAAACAAUAAGCGUGCUUACCUGGAAGUCCCUCUUUUAGCAACCCCAGCUCUUGAACCUGGUGUAGGAAGGCACUCUACAGCAAUUCCAGCUCUUGAAUCGGGUGUAGGAAGUCGUCCAUGGAUAAACAGCAGUGAGCCUCUGCAGUGAUGGCUUGGGAAACCUGCACUUGGACCAGCCUGAGUUGAAGACUGGUGGACAGGAAAGGAUGCAGACAGGACAGGACAUGAAAUCAGUCCUUUUACUGACCCAAGGGACAGGUGGAGAGAUAAGUCUAUCAUGGACUUCCCGUCACGGACUGCCCAUCACACUGAGAAAACAAUCUGAAUACCUUCAAAACUAAGAAUGUGUUUAAAGAGCUGAAAGGUCUGGCUACGACAUACUGACCUAGAGAAAGCUUGGAUGGUUUGGAAACAGCUCAAGUGGUUCUUUCCUCCUGUUCACACCCCUUUGCAAGGGAUAAACAUUAGGAGACACAGAAAACUCUUCAGGAAAAAAAAAAACUCUUUUACUCAUCCUACAAACUACAAAAGUCAUUCUUGGUUGUGUAAAUACAAGAAGAAUCAUAUUCAUCAACCUUAAGAAUCUGAAAAUCCUGGCAUGGUGCACACACCUGUAAUUCCAGCAGCUUGGGAGGCUGAGGCAGGAGGAUCACAAGUUCAAGGCCAGCCUCAGCCACUUAGUGUGGCCAAGAAAAGAAGGAGGAGAAGGAGAGGAAGAGGAAAAGGAAGAGGAAGAGGAAAGAGGAGGAGGUAGAAGAGAAGGAGAAGGAGAAGAAGAGGAGGAGAAUCUGAAAUCUUUCUGUGACUGGAUAGAGAACAACAAAAGAAAGGUAAAUUGUACAAGUGUAAGUAGACUUCAGAGAGAAGUAAGAUCGGGCCCACAGCCCCUUCUUGUUAGAUGUUCAAAAUCAUGAGACAUGCUAAUGUCUUCAGAUACUCAGAGCUCUCUGGCAGGCAUGGACCUUAAAGACCCCAAAGAACACUUGGAAAGCAGAACAUGCAGUAGGACCCUCGCUUCACAUGUAGAGCUUCUGCAUGUCUCCAGGCCCUCCACCUUGAGAAGGCGAGCUUCUGAGUAAACCCCACAUCACUCCUGUGCCUUGUGCAUGACAAAUUGGCUGCAACUCUUCCUAGCAGUCACUCAGCAGUCCUGUGUGGACAGGGGUCCAGAUGGGUCUCACAGGCUUCACUAUGUGUCAGCCAGGAAUCUGGAGAAGUGAGGAGAGCUGGUUUAUUCUGAUAGGGACCAGGGAUAUGCUCAUCCCACCUAUAAUCCUACCUCACUUAAUCGUGUUAAUCUGUUGAGUUCUACUGUUUCUCCACUUCACAGACACGGAAAACUGAGGUUGUAGGAGGCGUUUGGAGGGAGCCAGCAUCAACAUGUCUGUGUAACCCUAGUCCAAACAGGAUGCCUUUCAGGGAACAGGAUGAAUUCCCACAUCUCUACAUAGGUACUAACUGAAAGUUAACCUGUGUUUUCCAUGUAAAUGGUGCAGAAUGUCUGCCAAACACACAAUCUGGGACUGCUAUAUACCCAUUUGUUAUAGUUUGGAUGUGAGGUGUCCCAAAAAAAAUGACAUGUGAGACAAUGCCAGAAGGUUCAGAAGAGAAGUGAUUGGGUUGUCUUAACGAAUCAGUGAACUAUUCACCUGAUAGGGUUAACUGGGUGGUAACUGAGGUGGUAGGGUGUGGCUGGAGGAGGGGGCAUUGGGGGGAUGGCUUUGGGUAUAUAUUUGUAUCUGGAUAAUGGAGUUCUCUCUCUGUUUGCUGGUCACCAUGGUGUGAGCUGCUUCCCUCUGCCACAUUCUUCCACCAUGAUGUUCAGCCUCACCUCAAGCUCCAAGGAAUGGUGCUGGACUUCUAUGGACAAAGAACUUUGAAACCAUGAGCCCUCAAAUAAACUCUUCCACCUCUA